rnacentral:misc_RNA from 1 species
GAACGCACAUUGCGCCCUUUGGUAUUCCGAAGGGCAUGCCUGUUCGAGCGUCAUUAUCACCCCUCAAGCCCCGUGCUUGGUGUUGGACGGCCGGUCGAGCGAUCGACCCCUCCUAAAGACAAUGACGGCGGCCUGCGGUUCCCCCGGUACACUGAGCUUUUAACCGAGCACGUAUCGGACCAGGGCACCCGGGACCCGGUCCUCUCCUUUAACUAGGAAACUUCUAAGGUUGACCUCGGAUCAGGUAGGAAUACGCGCUGAACUUAAG